rnacentral:lncRNA from 1 species
GUCAAACUCCCAUGAGCCACCCAGAAAACAGAGAAGAAAGAACUCUGUUGCCUAGCAACCAAUGGAACAUUACAACGCUAGAUAAAUCGAAUCAAUAUCGCUCUAAAUAUUGAACCCUUAGACGAUGAAAAAACCCUCAAAGCCACGUCCAUGACUCCUUGGCUCUUUCCUUUCCUAGUCUCAGGAGCUGAGUGGGACCAGCUUGUGUUUUGACAGUCUCCAGAGACCUACAGGGAGGGAGACAACAGUGCUGAGUUCCACAGGAGAACACAUCAGUAGUAAUUCUAGAAAGGAUAUACCUGAAUCCCUAGAAUUUAGAGCCUCCUGCCCACCGUGGCAGCACAGGGUAGCCUGGAGAGAGAUCAGUGUCCUGAGUCCUACUGGCAUCUGGUCAGGGCUCGUUAGAGUUGAAGACACCGAGGGCAUCUGCAACAAUUCCUUUAAAAGAGCUCCAGAGACCAGGGCACAUGCUGCCUCCCAUUAGACCCUGACCUCCAGGAUGCCCCUGCCUUCCGCACCAAGCCCCAACGGCAGUCUGCACCUUCUCUGUCGGCUCGCACCCCUCAGAUUGCUACUUUGGGGCUUCUGUUCCCUUAAAGUCACUUCUAGUCUAUUUUAACCCAACUCUCAAAAUAGGUGUUUGCUCAGGGCCCCACACCUUGGUAGAAACCAAUCCAGUUUGGGGCAGCUUUAAACAGUGCCCAACUGCCUCUGUUUUCCAUCUGGUGACUUUUUCUUCCUGGAAAUAGUGCUGUGCUCUAUUCCUAGAAAAAAUUUCCCGGCAGGGUAUCCUUCCUGAAGAGGCUCGAUAGGUGCUUUCGUACAAAGCUUUCCUUGGGGCCCCCAAGUUUAGGCUGUUGGAAGCACUCAUUUUUUUCACAUGUAAACUUGGAAGGUUGAUCUUGCUGAGUUACUAAGAUGUGGAAGAGGGAAACUAACAUUAACCCUGCCACGCGCCAGGCACUGCACAGGCACUUUAGCAAAACUGGGGCUGCCCAGUUAAGCCCUGCAAUACCCAUAGGAGCAUCUAUAAAACGGAGGAGGGCUCCAUGGACUUCCAGCUUUCAGAAUUGAGCUCAGACCCAUGGCGAGAGUUCCUGAAUCUUGGAAACAAAACAUAGGCACUGGAUCCAAACCCGUGCAGACCUCAAACGUCUGUGCUGCCAUUCUUCAGCUGAAAUGGGUAGAAGACAAAGCAAGCUUUCCACACACUGCCACUGCCAGAACUGAGUGACUGAGGUCUCCUCCUGCCUGGAAGGAAAUCUUUCAGUCGCUGUUUCCUUGGGUGUUAUUUCUUCACAUGUGAAUAAAAGUCUCUGCAGGAAGGUAUUUCUGCUUUGA